AUUACAAUAUUCAAUUCAAUAAUGAAUUAGUAUUUGAAAAAGUUAAAUCUUUACUGCAGAUUUAAAAGUGGGAAUUUUGAGUAUUUUAAUCAAUCAAAAAGUCAGAAAUCUGUUCUGCAUCAAUAAUAUCAAUAAUAUUUAAAUCAUCAUUUUGUAAUACUAUAUAUUCAAUCAUUUCAGCCACACAAUGAAGCAACUUUUGACACUCUCAGA
rnacentral:sRNA from 2 species